UUGGUUGUUGUGGAUUGAGAGCGGUGAUUUUGGGUUGAGACCGGUGAUGGUUCUAGGCUGAGAUUGGUGGGUGUGGGUUAAGAACGGUAGUUCUGGUUUGAGAUUAGUGGUUGUGUAUAUGUGUGUGACCAAUUCAGGCUUAGCUGUAAUCCUGUAACCAAUUCUGUUUGAAACACUUAUUAUUAAGAAGAGAGCACCCAAUGGCCACUGCACCUGACGAUCUUAUUCUCCAGUUUUCAAUUACUGCCCUGACCCUUCAUUGCAUUUGUGAAAUUCUAAUGUUACCUGCCCACUUCCUUGGGUCCUCUCUUUUUGCAGUAUUCGUUCUUUUCUUUUUCUACAAUUAUGUUUCAUUUCAGUCGUUAGAAAACGAUUUCAACUGGAUUCGAAGAGAAAAUAGAUUAUUGAAAGCUCUUUCAUACGAUAUAGAAAGUCUUUCGAAUUCUUGGGCAGAAAUCGAUAUGAGAGCCAGGGACCUGUCGGAGUCACGAAUUAACCCGAAAAUGACUGUAUUACCAGAUCCAGCUGAGGUGGCCUGGAUGGAUAUCGCUGAAUGUGUGGUAUUACAUGCAAAAGUUAUCAUUCACAAGUUUAAGGAGUACAAAGAAACAAGACAGAAACCUGCCGGCGCUGCCGAAAGGUGUAUUUGGACUCUUAAAAAUUAUUUUAUUAAAGAUGCCCUUUACUAUGAUAUGAAGCAGAUCAAGGAAGAAAUAAAUGGUCACCUGGAGAAGAAAAAAGAAUCGAAGGUUGAUAUCUAUGGAACAUUGGAGAGAUCAAGAACUCAAAUUAGAAGCCUGCAGGACAGACCUAUUGAGCACGAGUCUAUCAGUCAUAAGGAGAAUGUUUGCUCAGCAGCUGAUUUGGUUCAAAAAAUCAAUUGCCAGAUUACGAGUUCAGUGUAUGGCCUGAGAGAGAAAAUUGAGUUAAUCAAAUUGCAACUGUUGUUACUGGGUGCUUUCAUGAAAGAUUUAGAAGGGAUUGAAUUCCUAAGUAAAACGGAAAAGGUCUGGGUGAAGGAACCUAAAGAGAUCAUUGAUGAAGCACAGCGUGCUAUCGAGAGCUUCAUACAGAGAAAAGAAGGGCGGUUUUCACCUUUCAGUAACUGGAUGGCAAGGCGUAAGCUUAAGAGGGAUAUGAAGAGCAUUGAUGCUGCUUUUUCUGACCUCUACAGGCGAAAGGAAAGGUAUGGAUUUAAAUUUAUCAGAAGAGAUCCGAUAUCAAAAUCUGACACUCGAUCCCCAAAUGAGGAGGUGACUCAGAUAAAAAAUCGCACAGUUAAAGAUAUCGAAGACAAGAAACGGCACUGGCUCAAACAGCUGCCAAAUUCGUUGACUGCAGAAAGUGAUCAGGUCAAAUUGCUGUUGACGAUGUGUGAUCAGUGGGAGCAAAUUCAUAGCCUUUCAAAAGAAGUAAUAGCAAUUGAAGGCGUAGAUAAAUCCAGAAGGACCUGGUUGAAGAAAAUGAAGAGCACUGUUGAUGUAAUAGAGGAAAACAUUGAAGCCUAUAUAAAAUAUGAAGCAGCAAGAAAUAAAGAAGACACCUUUUUUAUGGACUCAAUCUUCACCUAUGAACCACCUAAAGAAGAUGUAUUUUCGUACUCUCCUGAUUAUGCUUCAUUGUUUAAAGGUACAGACGAGAGAAGACAUGAGGUAAAGCCUUCGGUGGAAAUUGAACGAAUGAGGCAAGUUAUCUCUUGUUUUGAAAGAACCAUCAAAGCAUAUCAAAUUGAAAUAAGGGAAGAGUCAACCUCAGUAGUCGGUUUGGAAGAAGACAUGCUUGGAUUGAUCUCACGAUUAACCAACCGUGAACCAGUUGUUUCUAUUGUGGGGAUGAGAGGCAUAGGUAAGACGACGCUGGCAAAGAUGGUUUUCAACCAUGAAGCCAUUUUGAAACAUUUUCCUAACCGUCAUUGGGUCUCUAUAGGUCACAAGUCACUUUUGAAUAAAAUAGAAAAGCUGGUACUAGGAGUUCUUGAACCACAGGAGGAACAGAGAGGAAGAGAAAAUUGGAUCAAGAAGUUACGUCAUUUCUUGGGGGAGGAAAGGUACCUUCUAGUUCUGGAAGAUAUUAGCACAACGGAAACUUGGGAUACUCUAAAAGCAGCAUUUCCAGCAACAACAAACGGGAGCACAAUUAUGCUUACCACACGCCACAAGAGUGUAGCUUCACAUGCUGACCAAAGCAGCACUCAGCACCUACUUCGACUAAGAACCAAGGAAGAGAGCUGGAAGCUUUUUACCCAGAUGGUGCACCUUCCACCUGAAAUUCCCCCAGAAUCAGAGAAAAUCAUUAAAGCAAAAGUUGCUGUAGGAAGAUGCGGUGGCCUGCCGCUUGCCAUUUUCCGUUUAGGGUAUCUUAUGAUAGGGAAACAUGUGACAGAGGAGGAUUUGUCAAGUGUGCUUGCGAGCAUUAAUCGCUACCAAGAACCAUGGAUCGAAGCCAUGGAAAAUGAAGAAGUUUCUGUUCAACUGGGGAAAUGUCUUUCUUACAUUAGACUUUUCCCUAGGGACUAUGAAAUCCCUGCAAGAAGAGUGGUUGCUUCAUGGGUUGCAGAAGAGUUGGUACAACAAAGGGCAGAAGAUUCCCCUGAAUGUGUUGCAGAGAAGUGUUUAGCCGAUUUGAAAAAUAGGUACAUAAUUCAAGUACUGGAAACAAAACUAGAUGGGAAGAUCAAGACAUUUUGUUUGCCUAAUGCUCUGCGAGAGUACCGGUUGCGAAAUGAAAGUUCAGAUCAGAGGCUUGCCGAUCAAUUUGAUAGAGGAGAUGUUACUUUUGAUAUUAUUCAUGGUAAAGACAAAAAUUCCCCACAUGUUUUGCGGAACUAUAGAAAUCUCGUUGCAAUUCUCUCUUUUGAUGCUCGAGAAGGGAAUCAACCUGGGGAAGAUAUAGGAAACCUUCUUAACAGGGGCAUUGCAACUGGUUGCUUCCAUUUGUUAAAGGUUCUUGAUCUUGAACGUGUAUUCAGACCAAUAUUGCCCAAUAACAUAGGAAAUCUAAUUAACCUGAGGUAUCUGGGCUUAAGGUGGACUUACCUUGAGGCCAUCCCAUCAUCCAUUGGCAAUCUGACCAACCUCCAAAUCUUGGAUGUGAAGCAUACGUAUAUCCGCAAACUCCCAGGUUCAAUAUGGAAACUGCAGAAACUUCGGCAUCUAUACUUGAACCAAAGUUAUCGAAGUAACUUUGUGCAACCAAGUGGAACUGCACUAAGGAAUCUUCAAACAUUAUGGGGUGUAUUUGUAGAUGAAGACAGUCCUCUAAACAAUGGCCUAGAUAGGUUGAUGAACCUUAGAAAAUUGAAAUUGGCAUUCCAGUUGGAGUUAUCACAGCAAACAGCUUUGGCAGAGUGGAUUUUGCGACUGAACCACCUUCAAUCUUUAAGGUUGAGGUCAAUUGGCGAAAUGGGUGAACCCUUGGAUCUAGACUUGAAGCCUUUUUCGCACCUUGAGAAUCUCUUGAGCCUAUAUUUGUUUGGAAGGCUAGAGAAUCCAUCCAUCAUGAACCAGCUCCCACAAAGCCUCACUGAUCUUACCCUAUCAGCAUCUCAGCUCUCUGAUGAUCCACUGCCCAAAUUAGGAAAACUUCCCAAACUCAGGUCACUCUGUCUUUACUCUGGUUCUUACAAGGGAAGAGCUAUGGCUUGCUCUAUUGAGGAAUUUCCCCAACUUCGGGUUCUGAAACUGUGGAUGCUAGAUACUCUAGAAAGCUGGCAUGUGCAGCAAGGAGCAAUGCAAAAUCUCAGGGAGUUGGAGAUUAGGUCCUGCGACAAAUUAAAGAACGCCAUUGGGCUGACAUACUUGGAGACACUCCUUGAGUUGAAGUUAACAAAUAUGCCCGAAGACUUCAACAAAGAAAUUCAGGAGGAAUUUGCAGCAGCUGGGGAAAAUAUUCGGAUAGUUAUUCACUGAUAAAUAUUGAAUAUUCGAGCCAUAUUGAAUGGAACUCCAACUUUGAUAGGUUAGAUUUCUGCCUUCAUUCAUCAUUCAUCAGGAUAUUGAUGGAGCACUGAAUGAUAACCAGAAUCAACGUGCACCUGGAGCUGGAAUGCCUCAUUAUACUAUGGAGCUCUUAGCUACGUAGCAGUUCUUGUUUGACUUGUUGCUUAGUUUCUAAGGUGCUCGAUCAUUAGUAAGUAACAUAUUUUCCUAAUUGGCAAAAAAAAAAAAAAAAAGUAAAAUCUUUUCCAUCUAAAAGAGUUGGAUAAAAUGGUAGGCUUUGUUAAGUGCCUCCAUAUCUGGGUUUUGUUUGUUUUUUGUUUUAUGUUCUUACUUCGGACUCUAUGUCCCUUUCAUAGACUGGUGAGCUCUGGUGCAUCUUGGUUAUUAGUUACCAGCUUUGUUUUUCCUAUUGCCUAG